CUAGGACAGGAAGUCCUGUUUGUGAGGGCAGGAUCCAGACCAGUCAAAAACCUCACUCAUCUCAUCACGUUAAGGUUCAGGCAUAAAGAAAUUAAAACAAAUUCAAAGGCAUUGAGUGUAACUUGUGUGUUUUGGAAUGACUCGGUGCCUCUGAAUGAACCAGGUCGCUGGAGCACGUAUGGCUGUAGUACAAGGAGAAAUGGAGA